rnacentral:rRNA from 1 species
GUCUUGAAACACUGAGCAAGGAGUAGACAUGUGCACGAGUUUUAUAGUUAUGAUAAACUCAGGGGCGCAUCGAAAGUCAAAUUUAAACAAUAUGAACGGUCUGUAAUGUUUGAGUUUAGUGUGUAAUUUAAUGCCCGAACUCAAAACAAAUCUUGAAUAUUAGCCCGUUUUUAUUACUGCGAUUUAUUUUUCUAUCUUUGUAUUGUAAAAAAAUGCAAAGGGGCGAAAUUAAAUUCGUCAGUUUAACGGAGCUCGAGUGCAUACGUUGGUACCCGAAAGAUGGUCAACUAUUCAUGGGCAAGAUGAAGCCAGAGGAAACUUUGGUGGAAGUCUUGAGUGAUUNGACGUGCAACUCGAU